UACAGAGAGUGCGAACGUUGUUCGGAAUUACUGGGCUUAAAGAGCACGUAGGCGGCAUCGUAAGUGUCAGGUGAAGUCCCACGGCUCACCCGUGGAACUGCCUGGCAGACUGCGAUGCUCGAGUGUGGUAGGGGAGAACGGAACUCCUGGUGGAGCGGUGAAAUGCGUAGAUAUCAGGAGGAACACCGGUGGCGAAGGCGGUUCUCUGGUCCACAACUGACGCUGAGGUGCGGAAGCUAGGGGAGCAAAC
rnacentral:rRNA from 1 species